rnacentral:lncRNA from 12 species
CUUAAAAGCAACAGAAGGCUCCCAGUGCUCCCAAGGCACUAGACUUUGCUCCGUUUCAUCAUGGGAAAUGGCCAGGAAUGUGCCCGAUUGCUUGGCUGAAGACCUCCCACAAGGCCCAGGCCCAGGAUGGCACGUUUGUGUCACAGGCUCUUUCCACCCUGCCCUUCCGAGAGCCGCGCAGAGGCCAAUCUGCCGUCUUCUGACCCUCCACACAGGGCCCGUCGGGGGGACCAGCUGACGUGAGGAUGUACUGGUUUACUUCACUGCCUGGCACACAGCACUCCAUAAAUGGCUGCAUUGCUCUGAUUAUUUUUUUAUUAUUCUUGCUCAAAGCUUUACCCAGACCCAUGUGAUUAACCGAAAAGAACUACUUCGUAAGCCGCACCACCGUUACUUACCAGAGCAAAAUAAUGAGGAACUUUAUGUGCCGACUUUGAGGAUGAGCAGGACAUCUGCCACAAUCUAUGUGUAUUCCUAGGAGCGCGAACUGAGCAUCGGCUGCUCACUUCUCCCUUGUAUCUUAUCCCUGAGCCGAUCCAUCAAGACCCUCCACCGAAAGGAACAAAUUAUAAUGAUCUUGGUACGAGGCAGUUUAAACUUGCCUUCCUGUUGCUCAUGAGCUAACCUGCAACCCAAACUGCUGAGAAAUCCCUGCCUGUCAGAUAUUUUUCUCCUAAUUGAUAAGAAAGUGCUCAAAAAUAGAACUGUCAUCUGACAAAUUCUGGAACUAAUUGCCUUACACAUAGCAGGCUGCUAGAUGUGACCGGCAUUCUCUCCUCUGUUCAGUGGUUCCCAAGGAAACGAGGUUAAUACAUUCACGACUAACAUUUGCCUUGUGAAUCCCAGUUCACUGCAGUAGGCACAUAGCAUGCAGGAAAAGUGCUGAGGACAUCGCUUGUGCAUUUUCCCCCUUCUGCUUGAAGUGCAACACAUCUCAACCAAAGAUUAAACAAAUGCUCAGUCAACCAUCAAAAAUUAAUCAGCAUCUACGCUGGCCCCAUACUUUAAAUGCCUGCCUGGGUGUUCUACUGCUACCAAAACAUGGAGGCCUUCAAAAUCCCAAGGGUAGUUAACCCUUUAGUUGUGAGUGGUUAAAUUUUUUCUCUGGUACAUUUUGGUAAUUUCUUCAUUUUCUUCCCUGGAUCUGUGUUACUUUAAUUUUUAAAAAUACUACAAAAUACCAGUCUUCAGAAAAGUAUAGAUAUUAUUAAGAAGAGCACUCAUGUAUGUUACCUAGA